GUGAGGAAUAUUGCGCAAUGGGGGCAACCCUGACGCAGCGACGCCGCGUGAGUGAGGAAGGCCUUCGGGUCGUAAAGCUCUGUCAAAGGGGAAGAAGUGCAUGGUGGUUAAUAUCUGUCAUGUUUGACGGUACCCUUAAAGGAAGCACCGGCUAACUCCGUGCCAGCAGCCGCGGUAAUACGGAGGGUGCAAGCGUUGUUCGGAAUCACUGGGCGUAAAGGGCGCGCAGGCGGUUUGAAUAGUCAGAUGUGAAAGCCCACGGCUUAACCGUGGAAGUGCAUUUGAAACUGUCAGACUUGAGUACCAGAGGGGAAAGUGGAAUUCCCGGUGUAGAGGUGAAAUUCGUAGAUAUCGGGAGGAAUACCGGUGGCGAAGGCGACUUUCUGGCUGGAUACUGACGCUGAGGCGCGAAAGCGUGGGGAGCAAACAGGAUUAGAAACCCUAGUAGUCC
rnacentral:rRNA from 1 species